rnacentral:rRNA from 1 species
GAAUUUUGGACAAUGGGCGAAAGCCUGAUCCACCAAUGCCGCGUGCAGGAUGAAGGCCUUCGGGUUGUAAACUGCUUUUGUACGGAACGAAAAGCUUUGGGUUAAUACCCUGGAUUCAUGACACUACCGUAAUAAUAAGCAACUGCUCACUUCGUGCCAGCAGCCGCGGUCAUACGUAGGGUGCAAGCGUUCAGCGGAAUUACUGGGCGUAAAGCGGGCGCAGGCGGUUUUGUAAGACAGAGGUGAAAUCCCCGGGCUCAACCUGGGAACUGCCUUUGUGACUGCAAGGCUAGAGUACGGAAGAGGGGGGUGGAAUUCCGCGGGUAGCAGUGAAAUGCGUAGAUAUGCGGAGGAACACCGAUGGCGAAGGCAACCCCCUGGGCCUGUACUGACGCUCAUGCACGAAAGCGUGGGGAGCAAACA